GUGCUUCAGCCCAAGACAGGUGACAUCGUGUUUACCAAACUAUAUCCAAUUUAAUGAAGAGGGUCAAUAAAAUAAACUAAAAAUAAUUAUGUAGUUAGGGGGAAAUAUUAGUCAACUAUUAUAAUUCUUGUUUUCUUUUUGGGUUAGGAGGUUGUAUGUGGGAGACAAUUCUAGAUACUUUUAGUGUUAUUCUGACCUUGCCAGUGAAACAUAUCCUGAAUACUUGUCGAAGUAAAUAAUGAGAGAAUCAAUUACUAUAUGUUUAACAUCGUAUAUUAGUUUUGCAUUACUUAUUCUUAAUAUAACUGAACUUGGGCCAACUGUUUCGUUAAUGAAAUUUUCACUGGUUAUUGUCAAUAUCUAAAAACUUCAUUUUCUUUUGAUUUUGUCCAAGUUUUUUGCAUAUAUUGUGACAGUUGUUUAAUUACACCUAACAGUCUCAUGAUGAUUUAAGCUGUUCCAUUUCCAACCAUCCAGUCUUCUAUUGAGACAUUGUGUCUAUGGCUAUAUUAUCAAAUUUACCCUAUUUUUAAACUAUGAGAUUUGGUGCCAUGCAGCAGGUCAAACAAUCGCUUAGAGAUAGAGGUCUUUCAUUCAGCCAUUUGCAACAAAAUAUUUUUGUUUGUAACUUAUAUCCUGGCGGGGACAUCUUUUCUCUUACUUUCUGCAUAUAUUGACAUGACAAGUAGCUUGAAAGACUAAUCCGAAUUUUUUUUUUUACAAUACCGUUUCUCUUCAAUAUGAAUCUUGAAAAAUCUCAUGUUUUAUUAGAAUUGAUAAUUGCAUUGAAUAAAAUAACUGAUAGCCAAUCAGAUUACACUAGUAUUCCUCAAUGAUCUCUAAAAUAUAAUGAAGAACUCUUUUGCCCCUUGAUUCAUUCAACACAUUUUGACACUAUAAACCAUCAUCUUAACUUUUACACUUAAUUAUGAAAACAUUUUUAUAAACGAUUCAUCUACAAAUUUGAACAGUCAUGACAUUCACACACAUACAGCCUGAUAAAAAUCUUGCUGCAUCCUCCAAAUGAGAAUAAGACAUCAUAACUGAUGGCUACAACAUGAGAGUAGUCUUAUCUUUCUUUGUCUUUUGAGAUGAAGUUUAGCAAGGAUACCAGUGUUUUAUAUCAAGGACUUACAACACUUGCUCAAAGUAUUAUUCUUGAGAAAAUUAGGAAGGCAUAAAAAUAGAUGUCAUCUUUAUGGAACUCCCUUCUUGUUCGUAUCUUUCUUACAGCUGUUGACUUAAAAGAAGAAUAUUAAUGGCAUCAGUCUUGUUAGUCUAGGAGGGCAUGCAAAAGCCACGGGUACUACCUCUUUCUCCAAACCCAGCAAAUUAUAUAUAUAUAUAUAUAUAUAUAUAAAGUCCAUAUCUAAAUUGAUGUGUGUGUGUGUAUGUAUGCGCAUAUAUGUAUAUUUUUAAUAUGUAUUUGGCUGGCAAGUGGUUCAGUCUAAAACCAUGUGUUAAAAAAAACAAUUAUAACGUGAAAGAUACAUAAUAGUCUUUCAAAAGCACACAAAGAUUGUAGUGUUAACCUAUUAUAUAUGUGUGUGUGUGGUUAUAUAGUACAGGCAUGGCUGUGUGGUAAGAAGCUUGCUUCCCAACCACAUGUUCCCCUGUUUGAUCUCACUACCUGGCAUCUUGGGUGUUUUCUACUGUAGCAUUAGACUGAGCAAGGCCUUGUGAGUGGAUUUGAUAGAUGUGUGUAUCUUUGUGUUUGUCUCCCACCACUUCCAUUGCUUGACAACCAAUGUUGGUGUGUUUACUUAGUGGUUCAGCAAACAGAGACAGAUUAAGUUCUAGGCUUACAAAGAAUAAGUCCUGGGGGCAAUUUCUUCAACUUAAAACCCCUUUAAAGCAGUGGUCCAGCACGGCCACAGUCAAAUGACUGCAACAAGUA
rnacentral:lncRNA from 1 species